rnacentral:rRNA from 1 species
CCUACGGGUGGCAGCAGUGAGGAAUAUUGGUCAAUGGACGAGAGUCUGAACCAGCCAAGUAGCGUGAAGGAUGACUGCCCUAUGGGUUGUAAACCUCUUUUAUAAAGGAAUAAAACGUGGCACGUGUGCCUUUUUGCAUGUACCUUAUGAAUAAGGAUCGGCUAACUCCGUGCCAGCAGCCGCGGUAAUACGGAGGAUGCGAGCGUUAUCCGGAUUUAUUGGGUUUAAAGGGAGCGUAGGUGGUGUGUUAAGUCAGUUGUGAAAGUUUGGGGCUCAACCCUAACAUUGCAAUUGAUACUGGCAGUCUUGAGUAGAGUAGAGGUAUGCGGAAUUCGUGGUGUAGCGGUGAAAUGCUUAGAUAUCACGCAGAACCCCGAUUGCGAAGGCAGCUUACUGGACUGUGACUGACAUUGAUGCUCGAAAGUGUGGGUAUCGAACAGGAUUAGAUACCCUAGUAGUC